CUAGGUUGAUGCUCAACCCCUGAGCCACGCCUGGCCGGGCUCUGAUUUUCUGAUGUGUUUUUUUUAAUGGGCAAACAUAAUUCCUAAAGUAACUCAGUGCAAAUGAAAUUAUGCCAGACUUCUCUACCUUACUUCUUAGCAGAUUGUGGACCUGUCACCUGACUAGAGAGUGUUGUCAGGAUUUGUGUAAUGCACUCUACACCAAUGAACACCUGAGAUAUCUUGACUUCAAUGACAAUGCCCUAGGGGACAAGGGCAUGAAGCUGCUAUGUGAAGGGUUGAAAUACCCUGCAAACUAAAGACCUUAUGGUUAGCAAAAUGUCAUCUCACAGAUGGGUGCUGUGGAACCUUUGCCUCUGUUCUGAACAGAAAUGAGAACCUAACAUUGAUAGACUUAAGUGGAAAUGACCUCAAGGAUUUUGGAGUGCAAAUGCUGUGUGAUGCACUGAUUCAUCCAAUAUAUAAACUACAGACAUUCUACAUUGACACGGAUCAUUUACAUGAAGAAACAUUCAAAAAGAUGGAAGCUUUAAAAGUGAGCAAGCCUGGAAUUACCUGGUAGUUUCCAAGGAGAGCCCUCAAAUCAGAUGCAUACAGACCCCCUCCAUCUGUCACCAUUUUGAACAGUUGUACACUAUUGUUCUAAACCUGUUAACCUUUGCUGAAGAUACUAAUGUGAAAUAAGCAGCAGUGAUUUCUAUUUCUUACAUAUAAUCACCCAUUAAGUAGGGUAUAAAAGGCAGAAGCGCCUUAGUUCAUAUGUCUUCAGAAGUAAUACCUUGCAUUCAUAUAUUGUGUUAUAAUGUUUACUUUGUUUUCACAAAAGCCUUGGGAGGUUGGAAGAUGAGGUUCUGUCUAUCUUUAGGUCACACAGCUCAUUAGGAGAGUUGGGACUGGAAUCCAGCCAGGUUUCCCAAUACCCAAUUCAGGCAGGGAAAUAAUGAAAAACAACAUGUGAAUGAGCCCAUUUAGUGUAGCACAGAUCCUGCACAAUCCCAUGUUUCUAUUUCUGCCUAGCUUCCACAAACCACCAGGUAAGAGAAGUGGAAAAAGGAAAUGCCAGGCAAAGGAAAUAGCACAAAGCCAUUGAAAUAGGAGAGAAUGUGGUGUGGGAUUGACAGAAAAGUAGCUUAUCUGAUUAAGGUGGAGUUGUCCCUAGAAGCUCCUUGACUAGCUGUGUGACCCUGAAUAAGUCACUCAGAUUCUUGGAGCCUCCAUUUUCUCCUCUAUAAAAUGGGCAUAGAUUAACAUUAAUCUUGCAGUGCCACUAUUCCCAACAUGAUGCCUACCUCAUAGUAGGCACCAAUUAAUGGUAGCUGUUUGUAUAAGUGUGUACCUGUAAUAUAACUCAGCUUUUAGUCUUUGAGUUCCCAGAUUUUUGCUGCGUAGUCAGUGUAAUCUGCAUUUGAACUAAAUGUAUGUGUUAAAAGUGAUGAUUCUAGUUGGAGAAGACACCCCGUCGGAAGUUAUUGCAAGUGAAAGGUCCAGCUGCUCCAUGUCUUUAUCAUUGUGUGUUGUUCCCUCCUGCACUGGGAGAUGGUAAUUCUUAAGACCAGGUCUGGCAUGAGAAGAGUGGUCAAAAUGGUAGUUCGUUUCCAGUUUUCUCAAGUUGUUCUUUCCCUUUAGUUAUUUAACACUUAUCAUUGCACUUUAUUAUGUGCCAGGUUUUGUGCUAAGUGUUGGCCUUACAGAGAUGAAUAUGCCUUUUCCUGUGUACUUCCCACACCAUGUUCUCUGACUACCCUGGUCCCUCUGUCAGUCUGCUAAAUAUCUGAUAAAACUCAGUCACAUUAAGAACUCAAAUAUAAUGUUAAAUGAAAAAGCCCUGAACUGUGUGUGUGAAUACCGUUUGUGUACUAAAGGAUAAAUAUGCAUGUGUAUGUAUGUGUCCAGAGUAUAUAUGGAAGGAUAUAUAUAAGAAGUUGCUAACAGGAGUUACCUCUGGCAAGAGGAAUUUUGCAAGCAAGGGCAAUGGGAGAAGAGGAAAUGAGCUUUCAUUUUCAUCUAUAGCCCUCUGUUCUACUUGAUGUUUUUACCAUGUGCAUGUAUUACUUUUAUAAUUAAUAAACUUGAUGUAAAAAAUAAAA